ACCUUAACUUUAGGGAAUUUUGGAGCUUUGGAAUUGUUUUGGGAACAAGUGUGGUCUCUUUGGGGAUUCUGAUGAAUUGGCUAGUUGGUUCCUCUUCUUGUUUUUGUUUUUGUAAAUAUGUUGUGUAUCUUGUCUCUUAGAGUUGUGUUCAGAAAAGAGAGAAAAGAAAAGAGACAAGAUGGAAAAAAAAAGAGAAGAAAAAAAAAUAUACAGAAAAAUGAAAAAAAAGUGUGAAUAAUGGAGUCAAGAAGAGGAUUGAAUUAGAGGUUUGGGUGUGCGUAUACUGUGUUUACACUUGUUCCCCCAUUGCUCCUCUAUUUCCUUUUGUUUGUAGCUUCUCAUCCAUAUGUAUCCUUCCUUGUCCUUGGCCCCA
rnacentral:lncRNA from 1 species